GAUGAACGCUGGCGGCGUGCCUAAUACAUGCAAGUCGAGCGAACGGACGAGAAGCUUGCUUCUCUGAUGUUAGCGGCGGACGGGUGAGUAACACGUGGAUAACCUACCUAUAAGACUGGGAUAACUUCGGGAAACCGGAGCUAAUACCGGAUAAUAUUUUGAACCGCAUGGUUCAAAAGUGAAAGACGGUCUUGCUGUCACUUAUAGAUGGAUCCGCGCUGCAUUAGCAAGUUGGUAAGGUAACGGCUUACCAAGGCAACGAUGCAUAGCCGACCUGAGAGGGUGAUCGGCCACACUGGGACUGAGACACGGUCCAGACUCCUACGGGAGGCAGCAGUAGGGAAUCUUCCGCAAUGGGCGAAAGCCUGACGGAGCAACGCCGCGUGAGUGAUGAAGGUCUUCGGAUCGUAAAACUCUGUUAUUAGGGAAGAACAUAUGUGUAAGUAACUGUGCACAUCUUGACGGUACCUAAUCAGAAAGCCACGGCUAACUACGUG
rnacentral:rRNA from 1 species